CCUACGGGUGGCAGCAGUGAGGAAUAUUGGUCAAUGGGCGGGAGCCUGAACCAGCCAAGUAGCGUGAGGGACGACGGUCCUAUGGAUUGUAAACCUCUUUUGUCGGGGAAUAAAGGCGUCCACGGGUGGGCGGAUGAGUGUACCAGAAGAAAAAGGAUCGGCUAACUCCGUGCAAGCAGCCGCGGUAAUACGGAGGAUCCGAGCGUUAUCCGGAUUUAUUGGGUUUAAAGGGAGCGUAGAUGGGUUGUUAAGUCAGUUGUGAAAGUUUGCGGCUCAACCGUAAAAUUGCAAUUGAUACUGGCAGUCUUGAGUACAGUAGAGGUAGGCGGAAUUCGUGGUGUAGCGGUGAAAUGCUUAGAUAUCACGAAGAACUCCGAUUGCGAAGGCAGCCUACUAAACUGCAACUGACAUUGAUGCUCGAAAGUGUGGGUAUCAAACAGGAUUAGAUACCCUAGUAGUC
rnacentral:rRNA from 1 species